AUUCCAGCUCCAAUAGCGUAUACUAAAGUUGUUGCAGUUAAAAAGCUCGUAGUUGAAUUUCUGGUCGUGGCGACCGGUCCGCCCCUCACGGGGUGUGCACCUGGUCUCUGCGUCCAUCCUCGGGGAGAGCGCGUCUGGCAUUCAGUUGUCGGGCGCGGGAUCCUCGUCAUUUACUGUGAGCAAAAUAGAGUGUUCAAAGCAGGCUUAGGCCGUUGAAUACAUUAGCAUGGAAUAAUGGAAUAGGACUACGGUCUCGUUGUUGGUUUGAGGGACCGGAGUAAUGAUUAAUAGGGAUAGUUGGGGGCAUUAGUAUUUAAUUGUCAGAGGUGAAAUUCUCAGAUUUAUUAAAGACUAACUUAUGCGAAAGCAUUUGCCAAGGAUGUUUUCAUUA
rnacentral:rRNA from 1 species